UGUCACAAAAUGCCAAAUGGAUUCUUA
rnacentral:piRNA from 1 species